rnacentral:snRNA from 1 species
AAAAUUUUUCGAAAGAAAGAAAAAAUCUGUUCUUAUCAGUUUAAUAUCUGAUACGUCCCCUACCCGGGGACUACAUAUUAAAUUGAUUUUUGGAUCACGGAGCUGGAGCCGGGGCUUGCUCUGUCCACUCCACGCAUCGGCCUGGUAUUGCAGUGUCUCCAGGAGCGGUGUGCUUCCC